UCAAACUUGGUCAUUUAGAGGAAGUAAAAGUCGUAACAAGGUUUCCGUAGGUGAACCUGCGGAAGGAUCAUUAAUGAUAAAGAUCAACCUCAAGUCGGCGGGGAAAUUCAUUCCUCGACCUGACCGCGGUUCUGCCCAAUGUCAGCCUGUCCGUACCUGACCAGUGAAAUGUUGGGGCCUGGCGGGAUCCACUUUGUUUUCCCAUAAGGGCUCGCACUAAUCUGGAAGGGAUGGCAGGGUGGCGUAGGGUCCAGUCCGUUUCAACCCAUACCUGUGAAUCAAAUCAUAAACCUUUGCUUCGGCAGCACGUUAACCCUCCUCGUCUUUAGGGACGCGGUGGGUCGGGCGGUAAGGCUGUCAGAAGCCCCCAUUUUAAACCAGUUGAUGUGAAAAUAUUGCAGUCUGAGCAGAUUAGACCAUUUCGUAUGGGAAAAUCAAGUUAAAACUUUCAGCAACGGAUCUCUUGGUUCCCGCAUCGAUGAAGAACGCAGC
rnacentral:misc_RNA from 1 species